GGUCCCAUAGCUCAGUUGGUUAGAGCGUCGUACUAAUAGUCACACUUCCUCACCGUGAGGAUGACCAUUAAGUGAAAUGCGAAGGCCGAGAGUUCAAGCCUCUCUGGGAUCA